GCCUUCGUAGUGUAGUAGUCAGCACACUCAACGCAUAACCAAGAAGUUCGUGGUUCGAUUCCCGGUGAAGGCG
rnacentral:tRNA from 1 species